rnacentral:rRNA from 1 species
AGCUACAGGCUUAACACAUGCAAGUCGAGGGGAAACGACAUCGAAAGCUUGCUUUUGAUGGGCGUCGACCGGCGCACGGGUGAGUAACGCGUAUCCAACCUGCCCACCACUUGGGGAUAACCUUGCGAAAGUAAGACUAAUACCCAAUGACGUCUCUAGAAGACAUCUGAAAGGGAUUAAAGAUUUAUCGGUGAUGGAUGGGGAUGCGUCUGAUUAGCUUGUUGGCGGGGUAACGGCCCACCAAGGCGACGAUCAGUAGGGGUUCUGAGAGGAAGGUCCCCCACAUUGGAACUGAGACACGGUCCAAACUCCUACGGGAGGCAGCAGUGAGGAAUAUUGGUCAAUGGACGAGAGUCUGAACCAGCCAAGUAGCGUGCAGGAUGACGGCCCUAUGGGUUGUAAACUGCUUUUAUAAGGGAAUAAAGUGAGUCUCGUGAGACUUUUUGCAUGUACCUUAUGAAUAAGGACCGGCUAAUUCCGUGCCAGCAGCCGCGGUAAUACGGAAGGUCCGGGCGUUAUCCGGAUUUAUUGGGUUUAAAGGGAGCGUAGGCCGGAGAUUAAGCGUGUUGUGAAAUGUAGACGCUCAACGUCUGCACUGCAGCGCGAACUGGUUUCCUUGAGUACGCACAAAGUGGGCGGAAUUCGUGGUGUAGCGGUGAAAUGCUUAGAUAUCACGAAGAACUCCGAUUGCGAAGGCAGCUCACUGGAGCGCAACUGACGCUGAAGCUCGAAAGUGCGGGUAUCGAACAGGAUUAAAUACCCUGGUAGUCCGCACGGUAAACGAUGGAUGCCCGCUGUUGGUCUGAAUAGGUCAGCGGCCAAGCGAAAGCAUUAAGCAUCCCACCUGGGGAGUACGCCGGCAACGGUGAAACUCAAAGGAAUUGACGGGGGCCCGCACAAGCGGAGGAACAUGUGGUUUAAUUCGAUGAUACGCGAGGAACCUUACCCGGGCUUGAAUUGCAGAGGAAGGAUUUGGAGACAAUGACGCCCUUCGGGGCCUCUGUGAAGGUGCUGCAUGGUUGUCGUCAGCUCGUGCCGUGAGGUGUCGGCUUAAGUGCCAUAACGAGCGCAACCCCUCUCCUUAGUUGCCAUCAGGUCAAGCUGGGCACUCUGGGGACACUGCCACCGUAAGGUGUGAGGAAGGGGGGGA